GAAAAGGCUGUUUUCACAAUCACAGGAAAGAAUAAUGAGAGCACAUUGGAGUAUUUUUGUUAUAUUUUUCUAGUCCAACUCCCACUUUAGUAAACAGCAUUAUUCCCUUGUGAAUUGAUGGAAGGAUUUUUUUUCCCUUUCAGAUUUUUUUUCUUGUCUGAACCGUGUGUACAAGAGACCUGCUUGUCACCUCUCCUGUCUGUGAAAUACGAUUUAUGAUGAAGAUAAACGAUUACAAUAGCAUUUGAAACCAGAUUAACACCAGAGUUGUGGUCCUGCCCAUCACCCAACACACACAGGUGGAGCAGCGUUGGUGUGAAAUACUGGAGCAGUCAUGCCUGGUGGGCUUUGGAAACAGCAGAAGCUGUGUGUGCUGUGCUUGGCUUUCAGGAUUUCAGAAGUUCGUACUGCUGUGGCAGGUGAAACCCCAGACUUCUCACGUUGAUGCUGGUACUACGUUUUGAAGAUAGAAUAAAUGGAUGAAAUGUCAAGCAGCAUAGUAAGUACAGCAUUUACCUGAGACCAUUUUCUCCCUUUACUUAAGGACCCAAUUGCUAAGAUACUGGCACUUCUGGCAGCUGUCUUCAGUUUCUGGCUUUCUUCAUAGAUUUGGUUAUUGCUUCUAUUGGUAUACUGUCAAGAAAAGGUUAAGUAUUAAUAGUCUGACGUUUCUGAUUGAAAACUGUUUCUUGGUAGAUAACAUCCAUUUCUAAAACAUAUCCAUAUUUAAAGAAUGUUUUCCUUACCAUAUCCAUAUCUGGUGAUGAUUUAGGUAGUCAUUAAUCUGUAAGUAGUACAUGAUUUAGUAGUCUUGCAGGGAGAGAACUUAAGGUUAAAGAGAGAGAACUUUUUUCCAAGAACAACAUUAAUAACACUAUGGUACAGAGCAGCUGUAUAGAGCUUUUAUCUUUCUCUUCCACAUUGUUUCUAAGUUUUUUUUUUUAAGAGCUUUAUUUCCUUUUUGUGUUUUCUUCAACUAUUUGAGUACUGAGAUAUACUGUAAUGUCUGAAGUAAGAAUAAGAAUGUUUACAAAACAUAGCAUCAGUAUCUUCUAAUAUAGUAAUAUUA
ensembl:lncRNA